rnacentral:rRNA from 1 species
AGGACGAACGCUGGCGGCGUGCUUAACACAUGCAAGUCGAGCGGUAAGGCCUUUCGGGGUACACGAGCGGCGAACGGGUGAGUAACACGUGGGUGAUCUGCCCUGCACUCUGGGAUAAGCCUGGGAAACUGGGUCUAAUACCGGAUAUGACCUGCUCUCGCAUGGGGGUGGGUGGAAAGAUUUAUCGGUGCAGGAUGGGCCCGCGGCCUAUCAGCUUGUUGGUGGGGUAAUGGCCUACCAAGGCGACGACGGGUAGCCGACCUGAGAGGGUGACCGGCCACGACUGGGACUGAGACACGGCCCAGACUCCUACGGGAGGCAGCAGUGGGGAAUAUUGCACAAUGGGCGAAAGCCUGAUGCAGCGACGCCGCGUGAGGAUGAAGGCCUUCGGGUGUAAACCUCUUUCAGCAGGACGAAGCGCAAGUGACGGUACCUGCAGAAGAAGCACCGGCUAACUACGUGCCAGCAGCCGC